UGAAGGCAUCUAAGCGGGAAGCCGGCUUUGAGAUGAGGACUCCUGCCCACGUUGAUGGGGUAAGGCUCCCUGGAGAUGACGGGGUUGAUAGGCCGGGGAUGGAAGCCUUGUGAGGGGUGGAGUCGACCGGUACUAAUAGGCCGAGGGCUUGUCCG
rnacentral:rRNA from 1 species